CCUACGGGAGGCAGCAGUGGGGAAUAUUGCACAAUGGGGGGAACCCUGAUGCAGCGACGCCGCGUGAGCGAGGAAGUAUUUCGGUAUGUAAAGCUCUAUCAGCAGGGACGAAAAAAGACGGUACCUGACUAAGAAGACCCGGCUAACUACGUGCCAGCAGCCGCGGUAAUACGUAGGGGGCAAGCGUUAUCCGGAUUUAAUGGGUGUAAGGGGAGCGUAGACGGCAAGGCAAGCCAGAAGGGAAAGGGUAGGGCUCAACCCUGUACAGGCUUUUGGAACUGUGGUGCUAGAGUGCAGGAGAGGUAAGUGGAAUUCCUAGUGUAGCGGUGAAAUGCGUAGAUAUUAGGAGGAACACCAGUGGCGAAGGCGGCUUACUGGACUGUAACUGACGUUGAGGCUCGAAAGCGUGGGGAGCAAACAGGAUUAGAUACCCGUGUAGUC
rnacentral:rRNA from 1 species